UACGAACUGUGCAAACGUUAUUCGGAAUCACUGGGCUUACAGGGUGCGUAGGCGGUCUGUUAAGUAGGGUGUGAAAGCCCCCGGCUCAACCGGGGAAUUGCGCCCUAAACUGGCGGACUGGAGUGAGAUAGGGGUGUGCGGAACUUCCGGUGGAGCGGUGAAAUGCGUAGAUAUCUGGAGGAAUACCGGUGGCGAAGGCGGCAUCCUGGACCAUUACUGACGCUGAGGCGCGAAAGCUAGGGGAGCAAACGGG
rnacentral:rRNA from 1 species